AAUUUUUCGAAGGAACUCAAAAAACUUACUAUGAAGUUUCUACAGAAGAAUUAAGGCCUAUGCAGAUGUGGGAAAACUUCCUAAAUUUUCCUGAAGAACCUCUACAGACGAGCUGUGCAAACAUGAUACACUUUUCUCAGAGUUAUGGAGGAAAUAGAAUGGAAUAUAAAUCUGACCCUCCAAAAGAGAAGUGCUGGGGCAAGAUAACUCAUAUCGUGAAAAUACACUAGAGGAAAGCAGCAGGUUCAAUUCUCACCCUGCUAAUUCUACCAGCUUCUGAUGAAUAGACUAACCAAAGAAUAGAAAUGAUUAAUCUAGACAAAAUACAAGUAAACCAUUCAAAGACAAUGAAAAAUGAAUGUUUUCUUUGGUUAUUUAUAUUCCAAAAAUGAGUGAAACAAUUUUUGGUUUUAGUACUUAUAAUUUAUAACUUGUAAUGUAUAAUUUAUAACUUAUAUUUCCUCAUCGAAGAGAAUGACCCAGAAUGUACUGCAAAGACAAAUUAUGCUAGGAAUGCCAUCUUGUGGUUGAGUAGUCCAUUAUAUUAACUGGUCAAUCCAGUGAUGAUCUUUAAUUUUGAAAUAAAACAGUAAAUUCACAAAUACAAAUCUUGGUUAAAAU